UACGUAGGGUGCGAGCGUUAAUCGGAAUUACUGGGCGUAAAGGGCGCGUAGGCGGCGCGGUAAGUCACUUGUGAAAUCUCUGAGCUUAACUCAGAACGGCCAAGUGAUACUGCAGUGCUAGAGUGUGGAAGGGGCAAUCGGAAUUCUUGGUGUAGCGGUGAAAUGCGUAGAUAUCAAGAGGAACACCUGAGGUGAAGACGGGUUGCUGGGCCAACACUGACGCUGAGGCGCGAAAGCUAGGGGAGCAAACGGG
rnacentral:rRNA from 1 species